GGAAGAAGUUGAGAAAACGUCCCUCUCACGAGUCGCUCCUGACCCACUCUUGCAGUUUUCCGAGACCCACUCUCGCUGCUACUUACUCUCAGACGGA
rnacentral:ribozyme from 1 species